rnacentral:ncRNA from 1 species
UGAUAGCGUGGAAGCGGAGGUUGCCGCUCUUUGAAGCGGGUUAUUUCGUGGAGCGAAUGUCAAUUAAUGAUAACUGGCGACAA